rnacentral:rRNA from 1 species
AGCGAACGCUGGCGGCGUGCCUAACACAUGCAAGUCGAACGUGAAAGGGAGCAAUUCCAAGUUAUGUGGCGUACGGGUGAGUAACACGUAAGUAAUCUACCCCAGAAUCUGGAAUAACCGGCCGAAAGGCUGGCUAAUACUGGAUAGAGCGACGGAAUCCGUAAUUGGGUUUUUCGGGAAAGGGAGCCUGUAAAAAGGCCUUCGUUCUGGGAUGAGCCUGCGUUCCAUCAGCUAGUUGGUGAGGUAAAUGCUUACCAAGGCAAUGAGGGGUAGCUGGUCGGAGAGGACGAUCGGCCACACUGGAACUGAAACACGGUCCAGACUCCUACGGGAGGCAGCAGUAGGGAAUCUUGCGCAAUGGGCGAAAGUCUGACGGAGCAACGCCGCGUGAGUGAAGAAGGCCUUCGGGUUGUAAAGCUCUGUCGAGUGGGACGAAAAUGCUUGGAGUUAACAGCGCCAGGAAUUAAGGGUACCACUAAAGAAGGCACGGGCUACCACCGU